CUAUUACUCCCUCCGUCCGGAAAUACUUGUCGGAGGAAUGAAUAAAAAUGGAUGUAUCUAAAACUAAAAUACGUCUAAAUACAUCCAUUUCUUCGACAAGUAUUUCUAAACGGAGGGAGUACAUU
rnacentral:pre_miRNA from 1 species